rnacentral:lncRNA from 1 species
UGCAAGGCACUGGAAGCUCGCUGUAUAAACUUUGAUGACCUGAUGCUUAUAGCUGGAGGAUUUGACGGUUCUUUGUGGUUGUCGAGCUUAGAAUUCUAUUCUCCUUUCCACGACCUAAAGAAACCCCUUGCUUCUAUGAAUUCUGUACGUUCAUAUGCCUCAGCAGCAAACUUAAACGGUGAACUCUUCAUAAUUGGUGGUGUUCACGGUAGUUUGUGGUAUGACACAGGUAUAUUUGUUUUUACUUUUGACCUUUCGACUUUUUAUCCUUCUCAAAAUAUUUGUUUCUUUACUAGGAAAUAAUAUUGUUACUCACAAGUUAAAAAUGCUGCAAUUCUAUGUGCGAAGUUGAGUCAUACAACCCAACAUGCAAUCAGUGGUCAUCUCGUCCUUCAUUGAAUCAAAGAAGAGGGCACUUAGCAAGUGUUUCGUUACAUGACAAGAUAUUUGCAGUUGGGGGUGGAAAUGGAGUUGGAUGUCUUUCAGAGGUCGAAAUGUUGGAUGUAAAUGCUGGAAGGUGGAUCCCUGUUCGGUCCAUGCUUGACAAGGUACCACUUUAAGUUAUUUUUGUUCCAAUCUUCGCUCUUAGGCAUAUGUCCUCUUGCUGAAACUACAAGAUAUACCAAGAAAAAUUGAUUAUUUUCUGAUGAAGAAUUCAAUGAAAGUGAUAAUAUCUAUUCAGUAUGUUCUGUGUACUGACUCUCCUGCAUAUGUGUCGCUUUUUAAUGGGUUUGUAACCUAAGAAAGUGGGAAAAUAGGAAGUUCCCUUUUGAGGCUUCUUUAUUCAACCUUUACAAAUUACAACUUGCAUGAUCAAGUGAAAGAAAGUGUGAUAGUUAAUCCCCAGUACUCUGAGGAAUGAAAUUCUUUGAAAGCUAAAGCUGCUACAAUAAUUUGUGAUGUGAAUUUAGAUGAUAGUUCAACUUGAUAGCACUAUCCCACCAUUUAAUACUUUUUCUGACAAGCUUGAUGCUCCCUUGUUCUGUCAGCGAUUUGCUCCUGCUGCAGCAGAAAUAAGUGGCAUACUCUAUGUUGUUGGAGGAUACAAUGGAAGUGAUUACUUAAAGUAUGUUGCCAUUUUUCUUUCAUUAAUUUCUUCAUUCUUUUUAUUUGGUGGAUUAGCAGUUGUUUGCUGUCAAUGGUCAGAGUUUAUAAAGAAUUGGUUUUUCUAUCAUUUGCUUUGAGCAUGGUUGGGAUCAAUCUUUAGGUUGUCUCUUUGCCUCUGUCAAGUCAUCAUAUGAAAUUGAUGACAAUCUCUUACAUGAGUUUUGAGUGGGAACGCUAUAUAAUAUAUGUUUAAUAAUCAUAAACAUAUAUGCUUAAUAUGUCGUUAUUUUGCAUAAUCUAGUGCUUGUCCCAAUAAAGUGUUGCUUCAUAACCAUUUGAAGAGCUUGCUACAGUGUAAAGUUUAAUAUUAUAUUAUAUCUUCCAUAGGCUUAACUUAUCUACUUGUAGUAAACAACAUUACAAUUUUGUUUCAUUUUUAUGAUAGGUCGCUGUGGAUAUUAAUUUUUGAGUGCCAAUUUUUAUAGGGUCAAGUUAUUUUAUUGCAUUCCUCUUUUGUGAAAUUAUCAAAUCAUUGCUCUCCACUUCUUUAACUGUUAAUUUGUUUCUUGGUUUUCUUGGAAAUUCACUUGUUUGCUUCCACUGAUACUCCGAGGAGAUUGUUGUGUGUGGUUAUCUAUCUUCUUCUCCUUCUUCUUUGUUUAUGAGUUUUCCCCAUUUCUUGCUUUGUGGAGUUAUAACCUGGAGGCGAAUUGGCAAUCAGGUUGAAUCAAAAAUUGAAAUUCAACAAUUGAAAGAUAGAUGCAAGGCACUGGAAGCUCGCUGUAUAAACUUUGAUGACCUGAUGCUUAUAGCUGGAGGAUUUGACGGUUCUUUGUGGUUGUCGAGCUUAGAAUUCUAUUCUCCUUUCCACGACCUAAAGAAACCCCUUGCUUCUAUGAAUUCUGUACGUUCAUAUGCCUCAGCAGCAAACUUAAACGGUGAACUCUUCAUAAUUGGUGGUGUUCACGGUAGUUUGUGGUAUGACAC